rnacentral:misc_RNA from 1 species
GGAAAAGGGCAGUAUUUGGGAACUUGAACCUGUAGAAUCUGCUCAAGCUUCAGCUCUAUAGACUAUUAGCUAGCUACCCCAUCAAAUUCAUCAAAAGCCCAUCUUUGUUUUAAUUUUUCCAAAGCUGAAUUCAUUUUCAUCACCAUCCUUUUCAAGAGUUUUUUAGUUUUUUCAUACUCUUACAUUCCCACCAUUUUUGCACACUGUAGCUACCAAAAACUCACAUUUCAGACCCCUAAAGCUCUCAUUUUUGCACCCUCUCCAAAAUGAAGCUUUUCAGUUGGAUGCAAAAUAAGCUCAAUGGCAAUAGACAAGGGAUGAAUAGAAAACCAAAUGCAGCUUCAUCUACUCAUCAUGUGAAACAAGUUUCUCGAGAGGAAUUCAGUGAUUGGCCUCAUGGGUUGUUGGCAAUUGGAACUUUUGGCAAUAAUGAAAUAAGAACAGAAAAUCUUGAUAUCCAAGAUGUUCAAGAAAAUAACCAACAUGUUGAAGUUGAAGAAGAAGAAGAAUACCCAUCUUCCUCGGAGGAUUUACAAGAUUUCACACCUGAAGAGAUAGGAAAACUACAGAAAGAAUUGACAAAGCUCUUAUCAAAAAAACCAACUUCUGAUAAGGAAAAGGAAGUUGCUAAAACCCUCCCAUUGGAUAGAUUUCUCAAUUGUCCGUCAAGCUUGGAGGUUGACAGAAGAAUCAGUAAUACAGUCACUGGUGAUGUGGAUGAUGAUGAAGAAAACAUUGAGAGAACAAUUAGUGUAAUUCUUGGUCGAUGUAAGGACAUUUGUGAGAAAAAUAAAAAGAAAUCAAUUGGGAAAAAAUCCAUCUCUUUCCUUCUCAAGGAGGUUUUUGUUUGCAGAGGUGGGUUUGCACCACAACCAAGUUUGAGGGAUAGUCUUCAAGAAUCAAGAAUGGAAAAGCUUUUGAGGACAUUGCUUCACAAGAAGAUUAACCAUCAAAAUUCUUCCCAGGCGUCAUCAAAGAAGAAAUAUCUUGAGGAUAAUAAACGGAUAUCAAAUAAGGAAAAUGAAAAAGAAGAAGGAAAGAGGGAAAAGACUUGUGAUGGAGGUAAAUGGGUCAAGACAGAUUCUGAAUGUAAGUUCAAAUUUGGUUCUUUUAUGCAUAGCCAGCUUGCUUGGUAAUAACCAAUUCUUAGCAUUAAUAUUGGGUAUUUUGGUUUCUGUUGCAGAUAUUGUUCUAGAGAUUUAAAUUUGUCUGCAAAUUUUCAGGAAAUUUAUAUCACAAGAUCAUAUCUGGAUUUGAGAAGAUCAAGAACCAUACUUGAAGAAUGCUAAACCAUGCAUCAAUAAUAACAGCUAAAAUGUUACACUUCUCCUGAUGGUGGCUUCCCCUUUUUUUUCAUGGUUGCAUCUGAGUAGAUUCAGUGCAAUACAUGUUAUAUAUAAAUUAUUGUCCAAAGAUUUCUGUCAAAGGCUAGACAUUCUCUACAAUUUUUUGGUUCUAUCUUAUCACCCCCUCUUUUUUUUUUUUAGUUAAGUUUGCACUGUAAUAUAUUUUAACUUGAAUAAUAAGACACAUUUUC